GCGCCACUGCUCCAGCACGGGCUCGGGCGGGGGCGGCGGGAGGGGCGGCAGCGGCGGAGGCGGGAGGGGCGGCAGCGGCGGCGGCGAC
rnacentral:miRNA from 1 species